GGCCUCCUGGUGCUUACACCAGGCUGUGUUCUUAUACUGACUGUAUAGAAUGAGGAGGUAAACUCCCAUGUACACCUCAGCCCAGGCCCUGCACCUUGUCUGUAUUGUGAACGGGAGCACAUAG
ensembl:snoRNA